rnacentral:rRNA from 1 species
UGCGUAGGGUGCAAGCGUUGUCCGGAAUUAUUGGGCGUAAAGAGCUCGUAGGCGGUCUGUCGCGUCGGCUGUGAAAACCCGAGGCUCAACCUCGGGCCUGCAGUCGAUACGGGCAAACUAGAGUACUGCAGGGGAGACUGGAAUUCCUGGUGUAGCGGUGAAAUGCGCAGAUAUCAGGAGGAACACCGGUGGCGAAGGCGGGUCUCUGGGCAGUAACUGACGCUGAGGAGCGAAAGCGUGGGGAGCGAACAGG